ACUUUAUUUUCUGCAACUUACAGACUUGAUAUAUAUGUUAUUUAUCCAAAACAUGCAAAAAAUUAUCAAAAAACUGUGUGCCCUAACCUGUAGAGGCGAUGGGCUCUGCAUAGUCCAAAUCGACUAUGCAAAGGCCGAGCGAAGGUUUUCAAAGCUUUUUUACGAAAAAUAAUAACUAAUAGACAUAUAUUUACCUGUUUAGGGUCUUUUUGUAUGUACAUGAUGUUUGAUAUCUAUGCAUUUAGCUUUCCAAUGUGAUGUUGUAUCGACUCAUUUGUUGAAAUUUAUUAUGGUGCUCGCGAGUGGUUCGACGAGCUCUGUAGCUCAGUCUAGGCUAGGAUUGGAGAUACUGGCUUCCAUUGGUUCGUAGCUAUGCUCCCAUCAGUCACUAGGAGGAUUGACCAUACUUCUGUCUAUGCACUACACGAGAGGUGGAUAGACACUACUCAUACCUUUCACACCUAGAUCGAUGAGUUGAUGCUCUCUCCUCUUUCCUUCUACGCUAUCACAGGCAUCAAUUUCUCCGGCACGCCUAUGCGAUUUGAAGAUGCGAUUCACGAUCAAUGCUUCGACGUUUGGGAGCACUUCAUCACUGAUCCACUUGGGUUCUUGCGGAUAUUCAAGAACUCUCGAUGUAUUGCUUAUCAGAGCAUCCCCCUCCACUACUGGGGCUUUGUUCCUGAGAACUCUCAGAAGGUUGACCAGAUAGCCCGAGCCUUUUUGGUGUACCUCUUCAGUACGAUAUUGUUCAAUGACUCGGGAAACUUACUGAACUUCCACUAUUUGGCCCUGUUACAGUAUUUGGACCAGGUCUCAUCCUAUAAAUGAGGAUCUAUGGCUCUCCCAUACUUAUAUUAUUAGAUGGACGUUACAGUCUAAGAUAGCAAGAGGAUCUGCGGUUUCUAGCACGCGGUCCAUAUUUGGGCCUUGGAGAUCGGUCUUUUGAUGGGCUUAUAGCCCAUCUGCACCUUGCUGGCUUUCCCUCGAUUAAGUUAUUGGGGCUCGAGUAGGACCGUCACCUUGGAGUGGGCUCAGGUUCACAUGCACCAUAUGUGGAUUAAUAGCUUGACCUAGGACAUGAUUCGAGCUGAUUGGUUGGAAGAGCGCUGCCAAUGGGACCCCUACAUGCUAUCUACGGCUGACCUCGAGCAGAGGAGGAUCCUGCUGAUGGGACCUACCUAUUAGGCGCGGUACUUAGGAAAGAGAAUCUAUGAUUGGGAGCAAAGCGGUAGGAUACAGCGAGUUCCAUUAUCUCCUUUUCUUUUUAUGUUUUGGAUGACAAACAUUGCUCGGGAGGAUUUAGUGAAGUGCUUGAUGGGGUAUGACAAGCCCGAGGAUCUCACCAUCCGAUCUCAGCGGACAGACUAUACCUCGUUCAUCCCUCGGCUAUUGAGGAUCAUGCCCUUAGGCGAUGACGCUGUUGCUCAGUUCCCCCACCAAGCUUCUACUACUCAUGAGCCAAUUGAGGGGCAGUCCGCCCGACGUUCCCAGCCUUCCCACAUUAUAAGCUCCUCCGCUCCAUCCGAGGCACCUCCUACAACCACAUCUGAUGUGAUUCUCAGGAGUAUUUCAUUCCUGUUGAAAAUCUAGAAUAUCUUUCCUGUACAACUAUAAGAUCUAUGUAUAUAUCCCAUGAUUUCUGCUCUAUUUUAGGAUAGAAUAAAUUAGCUUCUAAUUUUUGGGAGAUUACAGAUUUCAUGGAAUUGACAAAAGUCAACUUCCAUUUGUAUAAAUAUUGCACAGCCUGAGCAUAGAAUAUAACAAAAUAAAAAAAAAAGCAAUUUAGUUC